rnacentral:rRNA from 1 species
AGUGAACGCUGGCGGUAGGCCUAACACAUGCAAGUCGAACGGCAGCACAGUAAGAGCUUGCUCUUACGGGUGGCGAGUGGCGGACGGGUGAGGAAUACAUCGGAAUCUACUUUUUCGUGGGGGAUAACGUAGGGAAACUUACGCUAAUACCGCAUACGACCUACGGGUGAAAGCAGUGGAUCUUCCGACCUUGCGCGAUUGAAUGAGCCGAUGUCGGAUUAGCUAGUUGGCGGGGUAAAGGCCCACCAAGGCGACGAUCCGUAGCUGGUCUGAGAGGAUGAUCAGCCACACUGGAACUGAGACACGGUCCAGACUCCUACGGGAGGCAGCAGUGGGGAAUAUUGGACAAUGGGCGCAAGCCUGAUCCAGCCAUACCGCGUGGGUGAAGAAGGCCUUCGGGUUGUAAAGCCCUUUUGUUGGGAAAGAAAAGCAGCAGGUUAAUACCCCGCUGUUCUGACGGUACCCAAAGAAUAAGCACCGGCUAACUUCGUG